GCUCCAAUAGCGUAUAUUAAAGUUGUUGCAGUUAAAAAGCUCGUAGUUGAACUUCUGACUAUUGCGUAAGCCGGAUUCGUUCGCUCUCGUGAUAGUCAUCCGCUUGGGAACUCCGUUCGAACUUAACUGUUUGGCGGAAGGAACAGGCAUUUUACUUUGAAAAAAUUAGAGUGUUCAAGGCAGGCUAUAGCCUGAAUACA
rnacentral:rRNA from 1 species